rnacentral:rRNA from 1 species
UUUACGGAGAGUUUGAUCCUGGCUCAGGAUGAACGCUGGCGGCGUGCCUAAUACAUGCAAGUCGAACGGGGAUGCAGCAAUGUAUCCUAGUGGCGACCGGGUGCGUAACACGUAGCUGACCUGCCCUUCAGCGGGGGAUAACAUGCCGAAAGGCGUGCUAAUACCGCAUGCACUGGAGGUGACUAGAUAGCCUUCAGGAAACUUCCGAGGCUGAAGGAGGGGGCUGCGGCUCAUCAGGUAGUUGGUGAGGUAACGGCUCACCAAGCCGACGACGAGUAGGGGGCCUGAGAGGGUGACCCCCCACACUGGAACUGACACACGGUCCAGACUCCUACGGGAGGCAGCAGUAAGGAAUAUUGGGCAAUGGGCGCAAGCCUGACCCAGCAACGCCGCGUGGAGGA